rnacentral:rRNA from 1 species
UACAGAGGUCCCGAGCGUUACUGAGAAUCACUGGGUUUAAAGGGUGCGUAGGUGGCGCGUUAAGUCCGUUGUGAAAUCCCUGGGCUCAACCCAGGAACUGCUUCGGAUACUGGCGCGCUUGAGGCCGGUAGGGGUCACUGGAACAGACGGUGGAGCGGUGAAAUGCGUAGAUAUCGUCUGGAACGCCGGUGGUGAAGACGGGUGACUGGGCCGGUUCUGACACUGAGGCACGAAAGCGUGGGGAGCGAACGGG